AUUGAACGCUGGCGGCAUGCCUUACACAUGCAAGUCGAACGGUAACGGGCCUUCGGGUGCCGACGAGUGGCGAACGGGUGAGUAAUGCAUCGGAACGUACCUUUCAGUGGGGGAUAACGUAGCGAAAGUUACGCUAAUACCGCAUAUUCUGUGAGCAGGAAAGCAGGGGAUCGCAAGACCUUGCGCUGAUUGAGCGGCCGAUGUCAGAUUAGCUAGUUGGUGAGGUAAAGGCUCACCAAGGCGACGAUCUGUAGCGGGUCUGAGAGGAUGAUCCGCCACACUGGAACUGAGACACGGUCCAGACUCCUACGGGAGGCAGCAGUGGGGAAUUUUGGGACAAUGGGGGGCAACCCUGAUCCAGCCAUGCCGCGUGAGUGAAGAAGGCCUC
rnacentral:rRNA from 1 species